UACAGAGGUCUCAAGCGUUGUUCGGAUUCAUUGGGCGUAAAGGGUGCGUAGGUGGCGCGCUAAGUCAGGUGUGAAAUCCCUCGGCCCAACCGAGGAAUAGCGCUCCGAACCGAUAGGCUUGAGGAGGAUAGAGGUAAGCGGAACAGAUGGUGGAGCGGUGAAAUGCGUUGAUAUCAUCUGGAACACCUGUGGCGAAAGCGGCUUACUGGGUCCUUUCUGACGCUGAGGCACGAAAGCCAGGGUAGCGAACGGG
rnacentral:rRNA from 1 species